rnacentral:rRNA from 1 species
GUGAGGAAUAUUGCGCAAUGGAGGCAACUCUGACGCAGCCAUGCCGCGUGCAGGAAGAAGGCGCUACGCGUUGUAAACUGCUUUUAACCGGGAAGAAACCCCAGGACGUGUCCUGGGUUGACGGUACCGGAGGAAUAAGCACCGGCUAACUUCGUGCCAGCAGCCGCGGUAAUACGAAGGGUGCAAGCGUUAUCCGGAUUCAUUGGGUUUAAAGGGUGCGUAGGUGGAGCGUUAAGUCAGUGGUGAAAUCCUGCAGCUUAACUGUAGACUUGCCAUUGAUACUGGCGCUCUUGAGUGCGCUUGAAGUGGGCGGAAUGUGCAGUGUAGCGGUGAAAUGCUUAGAUAUGGCACAGAACACCAAUUGCGAAGGCAGCUCACUAAGGCGAUACUGACGCUGAGGCACGAAAGCGUGGGGAUCGAACAGGAUUAGAUACCCUGGUAGUCC